UUUUUUUCACAUGACUGUAGGUGGAAAGCCGACGAGUAAGAUAGACCGGUUGAGUGUAGAUUGGUAGUUUGGUGUGUAGAGUAGGAGUAAUAGACGGGUUGAGUAUAGUGGGGUAUGUUGGAGUGUGGAUGAGAACCAGUAUAGACGGAUUGGGUAUAGUGGGUAUGUUGGAGUGUGGAUGAGAACCAGUAUAGACGGGUUGAGUAUAGUGGGGUAUGUUGGAGUGUGGAUGAGAAUCAGUACAGACGGGUUGAGUAUAGUGGGGUAUGUUGGAUUGUGGAUGAGAACCAGUAUAGACGGGUUGAGUAUAGUGGGGUAUGUUGGAGUGUGGAUGAGAACCAGUAUAGACGGGUUGAGUAUAGUGGGGUAUGUUGGAGUGUGGAUGAGAACCAGUAUAGACGGGUUGAGUAUAGGUGGAAGGUAGAAUGAGUAAGAUACACGAGAUGAGUCGGUAG
ensembl:lncRNA